rnacentral:lncRNA from 1 species
CACUGAGCCACACCUGCAACUUGAUUCACCAGUUAACUUCUGGAAGGAAUCCUAAGACAUUAGCAGCGCACACCUCUGGGGAACACACCUGGGAGUUUCGGAAGGAGACCACUUUCUUACAUUUCUUCCCUCUGCCCUCCAGCUGGGUCUGUGAACAAGGCAGCUCCCUCUGUUCUGUGCUUUGGGUCUCUUCCACAGAUUUGCUCACAGGAAGUCAUUUUGGUUCACAGCCUAGUGAUGAAGGCUCUAGGGCCAGAGGGCUGAUUGUGGCUCUAAUUUGCAAUUAUGCAGUGAUUUUUCACACUGCUUGUGGAAUCCUGACUUCCUCCCUGUUUGGGUUGGAGAGUUAGAAGUCUCUGAUUUGAUUGGAGUAGCACAGGCAGUGAUUACCAUAAGAAUUUGGCAUAUUAAAUUGGGUUGGGAAGUACUUCAUAUUGGGCAACAAAUGUAAAUUAUUUUCUUCUAUUUCUCACUCCUAUACAACCGCAUGUUUACUGUUUAU